GGGCGCGUAGCUCAGCUGGUAGAGCAGCGGACUCUUAAUCCGCCGGUCCGGGGUUCGAUCCCCCGCGCGCUCACCA
rnacentral:tRNA from 1 species